UGAGCUCUGUGUCCUGCCACUGAAGGCUGAGCACCUUGGAGGACAAAGAAUAGGGCAGAACGGGAGGAGCUGGGCUGGGUAGAGGUGGCCCCAAGGGGAGGACAGCUGGCCAGAGCCUUGGACCCUGCAGCACUGUCCAGGAGGGUCACAGGGGAGGCUCACAGGCUCUUGUGGGGCUGGCUGCAGCAGGAUGGGCUUCCUCCCUCUUUGGCUCAUUAUGCACCAGCUUGAGUCCAGGGAUACUCCUGGUCCAUGUUCCCCACAGGUGGGGAACCCCUGGUCCACCUCUGGCCAUCAGGGGAUCCGUCAGUCCUGGGGUCCACCAGGCAGGAGCUAUGUAACUUCGUCAGUGAAUGCUGCGGAGAAGGUGGGCUCCGGGGGCUGGAAGCCAGAAUCCAGGUGUGGGCAGGACUGGUUCCUCCUGAGACCUCUCCUUGGCUUGGGGCCACCUUCUGACUGUGUCCCUGUGGAGUCUCUGGGUCCUGAUCUCCUCUCAGCCCCCCUGAUGACCUCACUGCGAUCUGAUUAUCCCAUGUCAGGGGACACCGUGAGGUUUGGAGUUCCGACCUCACCUAACUCUGAGGGACCUAGGCUGUCCCAGGGCAGAGGCCCAUCUGCCGCAGCGGGCCCCCGCCUGCUCCUGGCCAUAUCGCUGACCCUAGAUUUGCAGGCCUAGGUGAGGUGACCGCACAGGAAACAGUGUCCCACGUGAUCCCCGCCCCACCAGCCAGCGUUGUCCCCUGGCCCCGGGCAGCCUGUGCUCUGUGUGGGAGGCUUCAGGGUGCACGGCCCACGCCGAGGAGCAGGCCCACUGCUGGCACCGGGCGUGACCUGUGGGGGAGGCUCAGGGCAGGGCUCUGGUGGCCACCAGUCACGGUGUCUCACAUUUGGACAGUGGCUCCCAGCUUGUCGAGCGCAGGACACAUGCCUCUGAGAGUGAUCUGGCGCAUCUGGCGGGCGUCUUCAACUCUCAGGGCCUGUACCGCUGGCCUGGGCCUCUGGUGCUGCUGAUGUGAGGAUUUGUUUGGCCCUUCCACGUGUGGGUCAC
rnacentral:lncRNA from 1 species